CUUGGUAUUGGAUAUAGGUAUCCAUACAACAACUUUUUGCAUCAUCAUGUUGAGACUAUCAUAGUUUCGUGCUUGGAGAGUGAGAAUAGUCAAUUUGUUGAACAUCUUCUUGGUGACCGUAAUCUUCUUGUGAAAAUUGUCGAGAAAUGAGAGAAAAAUUCAACGCUUGUUGCUGAUCGAUCCAAGGUGCUAGAGCUUGUUGAGUCACUUGUACUACAACCAACUCAUUGUCUUUAGAAACAAUGGGACUCUCGUGUCAAACACACAAAGGCAUGUUUGAAUGUUAAUGUUGUGGUGUAUUUGUGGAUUGUGCAAGUGUUUUGUGGAUGUUUGCAAGGGGUGAAGUAGUCUAAUGUUGUAAACUAACUUAGUGUUGACUAGUUUAAUAUUUUGUGGAUGUUUGCAAAGGUUGAUGUAGUUUAAUGUUGUGUUGAUGUUUGCGAAGGUUGAAGUAGCUUAAUGUCUCUUGUGAAUGUUUGAAUGAAGUUUUGAUUCAACUUUGAAGUAGUUUCGAAUUGAAUUUGAUGUAUUGAUGGUUGUAAUAUAUGUGUUUGUUGAAGUAGCUUAAUGUUUUAUGUAUUUGUAGUAGUUUGGUGAA